rfam:Triticum aestivum genome assembly, contig: Triticum_aestivum_CS42_TGACv1_scaffold_506575_6BL
CGCUAUCGAAAAUCAUGCAUUGGAUGGAUGCCCGGGCAUUGAGAAGGAAGGACGCUUUCAGAGGCGAAAGGCCAUGGGGAGAGAUUUUUCUGUGAUCCAUGGAUCUCCGAUCGGGAAACCGUAUCCAAGCUCCGUGGCUAGUCUGCGCUCUUUGGACUUUUCAAACUUAGCGAGCUGAAACAUCUGAGUAGCUAAAGGAAGGAAAAUCAACCGAGACCCCGUUAGUAGCGGCGAGUGAGAGCGGAACAAGGGUUUUCAUCAAAAGAAAUCCGAAGCGGUUUCAUUCGAUUUGUUGUGGAUUGGAUGAUGGAAAAACCAGCAAGCAGCAAGCGUAGUUAGAAAAGUUGCCGUAGCACGCCCUACGGAGUUGUACAAAGUCAGCAACCGUUUUGGGGCGCAAGCAUAGGCAACACAGGACUGAUGACGGGGUGGGGCGCGCAGUGAACUGGUUUUCUAAAAAGAUUGGAAGAUCCGGCCAAAGAANGGGGCGCGCAGUGAACUGGUUUUCUAAAAAGAUUGGAAGAUCCGGCCAAAGAAGGUGAUAGCCCUGUUCAUUCGUUCCCAUGGUUCGAUCCUUCCCAGUAAAACGCGGCGUGUUCGAAUGAUGAUCGCUUUUACGCGAGAAAGGGGGACCACCCUCUAAGCCUAAGUAUUCCUCAAUGACCGAUAGCGUACAAGUACCGCGAGGGAAAGGUGAAAAGAACCCCAAUCGGGGAGUGCAAUAGAGAACCUGAGAUCCGAUGCGAGCAAUCAGUCGAAGGAGCGGAGCGCGGGCGCACUCACUCUAACGGCGUAUCUUUCGCAUGAUGGGUCGGCGAGGAAAUGGGAACUGCGGCUUAAGCCAUUAGGUGUAGGCGCUUUCCACAGGUGGAAGAUUUACGUUCUUCCUAUUUGACCCGAAACCGAUCGAUCUAGCCAUGAGCAGGUUGAAGAGAGCUCUAAUAGGCCUUGGAGGACCGAACCCACGUAUGUGGCAAAAUACGGGCAUGACUUGUGGCUAGGGGUGAAAGGCCAACCAAGAUCGGAUAUAGCUGGUUUUCCGCGAAAUCUAUUUCAGUAGAGCGUAUGAUGUCGAUGGCCCGAGGUAGAGCACUCAAUGGGCUAGGGUGGCCCCNGGCCCGAGGUAGAGCACUCAAUGGGCUAGGGUGGCCCCCAUUUCGCUUUACCAACCCCAGGGAAACUCCGAAUACAGGCCGUCAUCCUUAGUACAGACAGACUGAUUGGGUGCUAAGAUCCAAAGUCGAGAGGGAAACAGCCCAGAUCAUACGCUAAGGUCCCUAAGCAAUCACUUAGUGGAAAAGGAAGUGAUCGAGCAAUGACAACCAGGAGGUGGGCUUGGAAGCAGCCAUCCUUUGAAGAAAGCGUAAUAGCUCACUGGUCUAGCUCCAUGGCNNNNNNNNNNNNNNNNNNNNNNNNNNNNNNNNNNNNNNNNNNNNNNNNNNNNNNNNNNNNNNNNNNNNNUGCUUUGACUACUGAACCAUGCCUGGAUCGUCGGAGCGAAUUGGAUGAUCGGGCCGAGGGCUGCCCCCUCUUCCCCUCGCUCUCCUUUCCUUAAUAUUCACCGUCGAGUCAUCAAAGCCGUCAACUAAUUCAGAGGGGCUCGGCUGGCCCGGUCGCCCUACGCUACUGGCGCUUCCAAAGGCGAAGCUCUCGUCUUUGGUGACCAGCAAACGGAGGGCUAAAACCUGUAGUUUUGAAGCAAGGGAUGAGCGCGAAAGCCGUUGCGCUUCCGUACACGCGCAUACGUUUUCUUGCUGGGGCGGACACGUAUUUCUAUCUAAAGGCGAAGAAAAAGAAGUGGGCGAACACUCGGCCCAGCGGGUGAACAUGCCGGCUCCGGCUCCGCGCACCUGCUGACACCUUUCGAAGCACUUUCACGUGUGAACCGAAGUCGUCUUGCCGAACUCCUUCCUUUCUCAUUUCAGUCCUCGCCUUUCUCAUCUUCCGUAGGGGCCUUUAGUCUUUUGAUUAGAGUGGAGGUCGCGAGAGAGCAGAGCGUACCGCCCUGCCAUAGUCGCGACGAUCUUAAUAGUCGGUCGCGACUGUUGUCAUAGUCAACGACGGUUGAAACUUCCAGGAAAAAACUUCGAAUUGGGAGGGCGAUCCUCCCGGUGAACUGACCGUACCCCAAACCAACACAGGUGAACAAGUAGAGUAUACUAGGGCGCGUCGAGAGAACCAUGUCGAAGGAACUCGGCAAAAUGACCCCGUAACUUCGGGAGAAGGGGUGCUCUCCUAUCUUUUGAUUAGGAAAGCGGCACAUACCAGGGGGUAGCGACUGUUUAUUAAAAACACAGGACUCUGCUAAGUAGUAACACGAUGUAUAGAGUCUGACACCUGCCCGGUGCUGGAAGGUCGGAAGGAGAAGUGUGAUAAGCUUUGAAUGGAAGCCCCGGUAAACGGCGGCAGUAACUCUAACUGUCCUAAGGUAGAGAAAUUCCUUGUCGCAUAAGUAGCGACCUGCACGAAUUGUGUAACGACUGCCCCGCUGUCUCCGACAUGGAUUCGGUGAAAUUGAAUUCUCCGUGAAGAUGCGGAGUACCAACGGCUAGACGGUAAGACCCCGUGCACCUUGACUAUAGCUUCGCAGUGACAACCUUGAUCGAAUGUGUAGGAUAGGUGGGAGGUGGUGACACACAACGACCAAUCCUGAAAGACCACUCUUUCAUCUAAGGAUGCCUAACUGCCGCAUCGAUCAUCC